GAAACAAUCACUCAGUUGAGCUGAGUGAGCAUUUUAUAUUCGUAAAUUGUUCAAUCUAUUUUUAUUUUUACCAAAUAAAGCUCUACAGUUUUUUAAUGGUUACUGAUCUGACUACAAGAAAAGUCUCAACUUUAAAUAACUUGGAUU